rnacentral:rRNA from 1 species
AUGGCGUCCCGGAGCUGCACCUUCCUCGAGAUCCUGCUCGCCAUCAUCCUGCCGCCGCUCGGCGUCUUCCUCCACUACGGCUGCUGCAGCGUAAGCAACCCCAUCCCAUAUAGCCUUCCUUGCAAUGAUCUUCUUCACGCGCUCUCUUGA